GGUCAAGCUACAAAGGGCGCAUGGUGAAUGCCUUGGCAUCAGGAGCCGAUGAAGGACGUGAUAAGCUGCGAUAAGCUUCGGGUAGGCGCACAUAGCCUGAGAUCCGAAGAUCUCCGAAUGAGGAAACUCACAUGGGAAACCCCAUGUAUCAUUAAGUGAAUACAUAGCUUAAUGAAGGUAACCCAGGGAACUGAAACAUCUAAGUACCUGGAGGAAGAGAAAGAAAAAUCGAUUUUCUUAGUAGCGGCGAGCGAAAGGGAAAGAGCCCAAACCGGAAACUUGUUUCCGGGGUUGUGGACAUAGCAUAAAAGUGGAGGCUAUUGUAACUGAAGAGAACUGGAAAGUUCCACCGUAGAAGGUAAUAGUCCUGUAAGUGAAACGAGAAGACCACGAGUUAUGAUCCAGAGUACCACGAGACACGUGAAACCUUGUGGGAAGCAGGGAGGACCACCUCCCAAGGCUAAAUACUACCUGAUGACCGAUAGUGAAGCAGUACCGUGAGGGAAAGGUGAAAAGAACCCCGGGAGGGGAGUGAAAUAGAACCUGAAACCGUGUGCCUACAACCGCUCAGAGCCCCUUAUGAGGGUGAUGAGGUGCUUUUUGUAGAACGAGCCAACGAGUUACGGUAUGUAGCAAGGUUAAGUACUUAAGGUACGGAGCCGAAGGGAAACCGAGUCUGAAUAGGGCGACUAGUUGCAUGCCGUAGACCCGAAACCGGGUGACCUAUCCAUGGCCAGGUUGAAGCGAGGGUAAAACCUCGUGGAGGACCGAACCACGUUGCUGUUGAAAAAGCAUGGGAUGAGCUGUGGAUAGCGGAGAAAUUCCAAUCGAACCCGGAGAUAGCUGGUUCUCUCCGAAAUAGCUUUAGGGCUAGCGUCGAGUAUGAGUAGUGGAGGUAGAGCACUGAAUGGGCUAGGGGGCAUAGCGCUUACCGAACCUUAUCAAACUCCGAAUGCCACAUACUUUGAGCUCGGCAGUCAGACUACGAAUGAUAAGAUCCGUGGUCAAAAGGGAAACAGCCCAGAUCGUCAGCUAAGGUCCCAAAGUGUAAGUUAAGUGGGAAAGGAUGUGAGAUUUCUAAGACAACUAGGAUGUUGGCUUAGAAGCAGCCAUUCAUUAAAAGAGUGCGUAAUAGCUCACUAGUCGAGAGAUCUUGCGCCGAAAAUGUAACGGGGCUAAACUUACCACCGAAGCUACGGGCUUGAACUUAGUUCAAGCGGUAGGAGAGCGUCGUAACCGGGCUGAAGUCGUACCGUAAGGAGCGGUGGACUGGUUACGAGUGAGAAUGUUGGCAUCAGUAGCGAGAUGUGGGUGAGAAUCCCACAGGCCGAAAACCUAAGGUUUCCUCAGGAAGGUUCGUCCGCUGAGGGUUAGUCGGGACCUAAGCCGAGGCCGAAAGGCGUAGGUGAUGGACAACUGGUUGAUAUUCCAGUACCACUACCAUCGUUAUUAUCGAUGGCGUGACGCAGGAGGAUAGUGUGUGCUAGCUAUUGGAUGCUAGUCUAAGCGUUUAGGCAGUGAGAGUAGGCAAAUCCGCUCUCAUAAUGCUGAGGCGUGAUGGGGAAGGUUCCACGGAACCGAAGUACAUGAUUCCACGCUGCCAAGAAAAGCGUCUAGAGAGAGAAGUAGUGCCCGUACCGCAAACCGACACAGGUAGGUGAGGAGAGAAUCCUAAGGCCGGCGGAAGAAUUACAGUUAAGGAACUCGGCAAAUUGACCCCGUAAGUUCGCGAGAAGGGGUGCCUACGAGAGUAGGCCGCAGAGAAUAGGCCCAAGCAACUGUUUAGCAAAAACACAGGUCUCUGCUAAAGCGUAAGCUGAUGUAUAGGGGCUGACGCCUGCCCGGUGCUGGAAGGUUAAGGGGAACACUUAGCGCAAGCGAAGGUGUGAACUUAAGCCCCAGUAAACGGCGGCCGUAACUAUAACGGUCCUAAGGUAGCGAAAUUCCUUGUCAGGUAAGUUCUGACCCGCACGAAUGGCGUAAUGACUUGGGCACUGUCUCAACUGUAAAUCCGGCGAAGUUGUAGUGCGAGUGAAGAUGCUCGCUACCCGCGAUUGGACGGAAAGACCCCGUAGAGCUUUACUGUAGCUUAGCAUUGAGUUUUGGUAUUGUCUGUACAGGAUAGGUGGGAGACUAGGAAACCAGGGCGUCAGCCUUGGUGGAGUCAACCUUGGGAUACCACCCUGACAGUACUGAAAUUCUAACUGGCGGCCAUGAAUCUGGUCACAGGACAUUGUUAGGUGGGCAGUUUGACUGGGGCGGUCGCCUCCUAAAAAGUAACGGAGGCGCCCAAAGGUUCCCUCAGAACGGUCGGAAAUCGUUCGAAGAGUGCAAAGGCAGAAGGGAGCCUGACUGCGACACCCACAAGUGGAGCAGGGACGAAAGUCGGGCUUAGUGAUCCGGUGGUACCUCGUGGGAGGGCCAUCGCUCAACGGAUAAAAGCUACCUCGGGGAUAACAGGCUGAUCUCCCCCAAGAGUCCACAUCGACGGGGAGGUUUGGCACCUCGAUGUCGGCUCGUCGCAUCCUGGGGCUGAAGUAGGUCCCAAGGGUUGGGCUGUUCGCCCAUUAAAGCGGCACGCGAGCUGGGUUCAGAACGUCGUGAGACAGUUCGGUCCCUAUCCGUCGCGGGCGUAGGAAAUUUGAGAGGAGCUGUCCUUAGUACGAGAGGACCGGGAUGGACUGACCUCUGGUGUACCAGUUGUUCCGCCAGGAGCACAGCUGGGUAGCUAAGUCGGGAAUGGAUAAACGCUGAAAGCAUCUAAGCGUGAAGCCAACCUCAAGAUGAGAUUUCCCAUAGCAUAAGCUAGUAAGAUCCCUUGAAGAACACAAGGUUGAUAGGUCGGGGGUGUAAGCAUGGUAACAUGUUCAGCUGACCGAUACUAAUAGAUCGAGGGCUUGACCAA
rnacentral:rRNA from 1 species